AAACAAGAACACCACCUUGAAAUACACCACCACUCAACACCAUUCACCACCACCACCACCAACACCACCACCAGGGUGCUCUAUGAAGGGUUUAGUGUCCAUGUUGUCAAGUCCAUCUCCCUCAAUCUGUUCUGGGACCAUUUUAGUUGCGGUUCUCUGUAUCCUUUCCAACUCCACAUACUCCACCACUUCUUCCCACAAGCUGUUCCAUGUGUUAACACUUCUAUGUGAAAAACUUUACUUUUUCCAGUCACUUAAACAGGCUCCUUUAUUAAGUUUCCUUCCGUGUCCUCUCAGCCCCUGCGUUAGUGAUGCUAAGAAAUCAUCUCUAUCCACCUCAUCAAACAGGGGGCUUCGUGGUACAGUGGUUAGCACACUCGGCUCACGACCGAGAGAGCCCGGGUUCGAUUCCCGGGUGGAGUGGAAAAAUUUGGGUGGCUUUUCUGACUAAACCAAACUUUCCAACUGUUCCCUUCUCCUAUAAUUCCUUCCCCUUCUGUCUCUCUCCGGCAUAUGACCACAGAUGUUGCGCCCAAUAAACAAAACUUUCCAACUCUUUCCUCAUCAAACUUAUUUACCAACUUGUACAGUGUGAUCAAAUCUCCUCUCUCCCUUCUUUGUUCCAGUGUCGUCAAGUCCAUCUCCCUCAAUCUGUCUUCAUACGUCAUAUUCGAGAGUUCUGGGACCAUUUUGUUGCAAUUCUCUGUCUUGAGUCCAACAUCAUAAUCUUCCUUUGCAUAGUUUUUCCUUUUUUCCUUAUAUGCCUCAUCUUGGUAUUCAAAUCCUUCCAUAGUUUUCAUCUGUCAUAGUUGAUGGCCAUUCUUUCCUAAGGGGCACUCGUCUAAUUUCAUCUAACUCAACAUUUUUUGUGAAAAUUAGGUCAAGUCUUGAUGGUUGGUCAUCCCCUCUUAGCCUUGUUUCUCCUUUAACCCACUGCAUCAACAGAUUAUCACAUCAGGUGUGUGUGUGUGUGUGUGUGUGUGUGUGUGUGUGUGUGUUUAGCUAGUUGUUGUAUUUACCUAGUUGUAGUUUUAUAGGGCCUGGGCUUGACGUUCGUGUGGUCCCGUCUCUGUAUCUACAUUUAUCCAACUUUUCCUUGAAGCUUUGCACACUCCUUUCUGGUACUACAUCCUCACUUAGUCUGUUCCAAACCUCUAUAUUUCUUUAUGUCUCUCAAGCAUCUUCCCUUCCUCAAUUUUUUACUGUGUCCUCUUGUGUUCCUGGUGGUAAUUUCUUCUUUUAGUAGUAACUCCUCGUUGUCUACUUCUUCCAUUUUGCUCAAUAAUUUGUAGAUUUGUAUUAGGUCUCCCGUUUCUCUUCUUUGUUCUAGUGUUGGUAAGUCCAUUUCCUUUAGUCUCUCCUCGUAUGUCAAUCCCUGGAACCAUUUUUGUUGCCAUCUUUUGUAUUCUUUCUAGUUUCUUGAUGUGUUUCUUCUUAUGGGGAGACCACACUGCCUCUGCAUGUGUGUGUGUGUGUGUGUGUGUGUAAGAUUGACUGACUGAUGAAUGAAUAACUGCGAUUAAUUAGGCUGGUAUUACAAGACACUUUCCCUGCUCACAUCAGCUACUUCUAAAGGUCAAAGGGGGAUAUCAGUCAGGUUCUAAUGAGUGUUUUUCAGGCUCAUGGUACAGAAGAAGGGUUAAACUACCACCAGGGUCAUAAAACUACUCCUGGAAAUGCCCACAACUGCGAAAGCCUUGUCAAAUAGGUGUUCGUGGGCGGCGAAAUAUCUUGUAAUACGACCCUAAGUAAAUAACUUCUUGAUGGAGUGGAUGAUUGACUUGGCAUCUUGUAGCUUUACUCUCAGCUAUUUCAAGUUCCCGACUGAUGUACUAACACCCUCAGAUUGGCUACAGUGAAGGUCGUGGCAGAGAGUGUACUCAAACUCCUACUGUGAGCUACUCCUGAUGCCUGCGCCCUCACCACCCCUGUGAAGGACGCCCAGCUGACCCAACCCUCCACGUGUGCCCCUGAGAGCUCCCUGCAGCACAGCGAGUCUCUUCUUGGACGGCUCAGAGGCACAGAAGAUGUAGCCAGACUUACCGGCCAAACCCAAGGGUGUGUGUUGAUGCUGGGACCAAGAAGAAGAAGAAGAGAAAAAGGAGGAAGAUGAUGAUAAAGGCAACAGAAAGAUCAGAAGAAGAGGAGGAGGAAGAAUGGAAGAAGAGAACACACACACACACACACACAUAUGACAAACACCUUUUUCUAUAUUUUUCAUUUUUAUUAGUCCAUACAACAUACAUUAGCUAUAUACAUAUAAUACAACAUAUGCAUAACUAUAUACAUUAGAUCAUAGAGUGAGUGAGUGAGACCCGAGAGGCGAGAUAGAGGUGCCCCCCCCUCUCUCUCUCUCUCUCUCUCUCUCUCUCUCACCUCACCUCACCUCACCACAGCUCACAGGACCCCACAGAUGUGCCGCCCACAGACACAUACCCCCCCAGCCUCAUGAAGGACCCCCUUCUCCCUCCCUCCCCCCCUAGCCAACAUAGCACCCACACAGCCUUAUCAAUGUUACUAUGUAUAUGUAUGUAUGUGUGUUUUUCUAUUAAUAAAAAGAUAAUUUGUAAUGUUUGUGUGUUCUAUUCCUAUGAGAUAGAGAGGAAGAGAGGAAAAGGUAAAGAGGGAGAGAGAGAGAACGAAAUGAGAGAGAGAGAGGAGGUAAGGGAAGGAGAGAGAUGAGAAAAGGAAAAGAAAUAAUGAAAGAAAGAACAAAGAAAUUUGCUGAUAAAAGAGAGAGAAAGGUAUCAGAAGGGAGAGGGAGAGAGGCAAGGUAAUAAUAUUGAUUAGUAAUAGUGUCUCAACUAACCUACUAACUAACUAUGGAAUGACAGAGAUGACCAAAUGUCAACUGUAUGUACCUAGCUAACUGUAUGAGACUGUAUGUUAUAUAUACUCUAUAACAAAGGCAAUAUUAUCUUAACAGAGAGAGAGAGAGAGAUCUAAUCAGUAUGUAGCAAAGUCUAAAGGCCUAUGUAUAUGCCUACCUAGUGAGAGGAAGCUGAACUCUAUAACGAAGGCAAUAUUAUCUUAAGAGAGA